GAACGAGGAUAUAUCCUUCGGGAUAUAAGCCGAGUGGCACAAGGGUGAGCAAUGCAUAGAUUACCUACCUUUAGGAUAAGGGCAACUUUGUGAAAACGGAGCUAAUACUUAAUAAUACAAAAGAAAAUAAUUUUCUUUUGUCAAAGGGAGGGUAGCAAUACCUUUCGCCUAGAGAGGGGUUUAUGUCCUAUCAGCUUGUUGGUGGGGUAAUAGCCCACCAAGGCGAAGACGGGUAGCCGGUUUAAGAGGAUGGUCGGCCACACUGGGACUGAGACACUGCCCAGACUUCUACGGAAGGCUGCAGUCGAGAAUCUUUCGCAAUGCCCGAAAGGGUGACGAAGCGACGCCGCGUGGGUGACGAAGGCCUUCGGGUUGUAAAGCCCUGUCAGGAGUUAUGAAAUGUAAGUGCGCUAAUAUCGUGCUUAUUUGACAAAGGCUCCAAAGGAAGCCACGGCUAACUCUGUGCCAGCAGCCGCGGUAAUACAGAGGUGGCGAGCGUUGUUCGGAAUUAUUGGGCGUAAAGAGCACGUAGGUGGGUUUGCAAGUCAGAUGUGAAAGCCUUCUGUUCAACGGAAGAAUUGCAUCUGAAACUGCUAAUCUUGAGUAUAGGAGGGGAGAAUGGAACUUCUGGUGGAGCGGUGAAAUGCGUAGAUAUCAGAAGGAACGCCGGCGGCGAAAGCGAUUCUCUGGCCUAUUACUGACACUCAGUGUGCGAAAGCUAGGGGAGCAAACGGGAUUAGAUACCCCGGUAGUCCUAGCCGUAAACGAUGGGCACUAAGUAGAGGGAAUUACCUAUAUUCUCUCUGCCGUAGCUAACGCAUUAAGUGCCCCGCCUGGGGAGUACGGCCGCAAGGCUAAAACUCAAAAGAAUUGACGGGGGCUCGCACAAGCGGUGGAGCAUGUGGCUUAAUUCGAUGCAACGCGAAAAACCUUACCGGGGCUUGACAUGAUAGAAGUAGGAACCUGAAAGGGGGACGAACGGUAUCCAGUCCGUAGCUAUUACAGGUGUUGCAUGGCUGUCGUCAGCUCGUGUCGUGAGACGUUGGGUUAAGUCCCCUAACGAGCGAAACCCUUGUUUUUAGUUACCAGCGGGUUAUGCCGGGUACUCUAGAAAGACUGCCGUCGUCAAGACGGAGGAAGGUGGGGAUGACGUCAAGUCAUCAUGGCCCUUAUGCCCCGGGCUGCACACGUGCUACAAUGGUCGGUACAGACGGAAGCGAAGCCGAGAGGUGAAGCGAAUCCUAAAAAGCCGAUCUCAGUUCGGAUUGGAGGCUGAAAUUCGCCUCUAUGAAGUUGGAAUCGCUAGUAAUCGCGGAUCAGCAAUGUCGCGGUGAAUAUGUUCCCGAGCCUUGUACACACCGCCCGUCAAGCCACCCAAGCAGGAUGCACCCGAAAACAUUAUAUCUAACCAGGGCAACUUGGAGGAAAAUGUUGAAGGAGUGUUUUGUGAGGAGGACU
rnacentral:rRNA from 1 species